GGGGAAUAUUGCGCAAUGGGGGACACCCCGACGCCGCAAUACCGCGUGAGGGAAGAAGGGUUUCGGCACGUAAAGCUCUGUUAUUGUGGGAAGAAAAAACACGGUCCCCAAGAAGAAAGGCCCGGUUAACUACACGCCAGCAGCCGCGGUAAUACGUAGGGGACAAGCGUUGUCCGGAUUUACUGGGCGUAAAGGGCACGCAGGCGGUUUUUUAAGUCAGAUGUGAAAGGUACCGGCUCAACCGGUAACAUGCAUUUGAAACUGAAAGACUUGAGUAUUGGAGAGGCAAGUGGAAUUCCUAGUGUAGCGGUGAAAUGCGUAGAUAUUAGGAGGAACACCGGUGGCGAAGGCGGCUUGCUGGACAAAUACUGACGCUGAGGUGCGAAAGCGUGGGGAGCAAACA
rnacentral:rRNA from 1 species